GGCUGGUCCAGUGGUAGUGGGUUAUCAGAACUUAAUAAUUUAGUGCCACUAAAGUUUGUAUACAGCCCCCACUACUAAAUUUGACUGGCAUUAA
rnacentral:Y_RNA from 1 species